rnacentral:rRNA from 1 species
GACCUGGAAAGGUCGGCCGAAGAAGGUGACAGCCCUGUAGCUGAAACUGUUUUCCCUCCAGAGUGGAUCCUGAGUACGGCGGGACACGUGAAACCCCGUCGGAAUCCGGGAGGACCAUCUCCCAAGGCUAAAUACUCCCUAGUGACCGAUAGUGAACCAGUACCGUGAGGGAAAGGUGAAAAGCACCCCGGAAGGGGAGUGAAAUAGAUCCUGAAACCGUAUGCCUACAAGUAGUCAGAGCCCGUUAACGGGUGAUGGCGUGCCUUUUGUAGAAUGAACCGGCGAGUUACGAUAACGCGCGAGGUUAAGCCGAUGAGGCGGAGCCGUAGCGAAAGCGAGUCUGAACAGGGCGUUCAGUGCGUUGUCGUAGACCCGAAACCAGGUGAUCUACCCAUGUCCAGGAUGAAGGUCAGGUAACACUGACUGGAGGUCCGAACCCACGCACGUUGAAAAGUGCGGGGAUGAGGUGUGGGUAGCGGUGAAAUGCCAAUCGAACCUGGAGAUAGCUGGUUCUCCCCGAAAUAGCUUUAGGGCUAGCCUCGAGGUUGAGAGUUCUGGAGGUAGAGCACUGAUUGGACUAGGGGCCCCCACAGGGUUACCGAAUUCAGUUAAACUCCGAAUGCCAGCAACUUAUACUCGGGAGUCAGACUGCG